rnacentral:rRNA from 1 species
CCAGACUCCUACGGGAGGCAGCAGUGGGGAAUAUUGCACAAUGGGGGAAACCCUGAUGCAGCGACGCCGCGUGAGCGAUGAAGUAUUUCGGUAUGUAAAGCUCUAUCAGCAGGGAAGAAGAUGACGGUACCUGACUAAGAAGCCCCGGCUAACUACGUGCCAGCAGCCGCGGUAAUACGUAGGGGGCAAGCGUUAUCCGGAUUUACUGGGUGUAAAGGGAGCGUAGACGGCGAUGCAAGCCAGAUGUGAAAGCCCGGGGCUCAACCCCGGGACUGCAUUUGGAACUGUGUGGCUGGAGUGUAGGAGAGGUAAGUGGAAUUCCUAGUGUAGCGGUGAAAUGCGUAGAUAUUAGGAGGAACACCAGUGGCGAAGGCGGCUUACUGGACUGUAACUGACGUUGAGGCUCGAAAGCGUGGGGAGCAAACAGGAUUAGAUACCCCCGUAAA